CGGGGAGGCAGUGACAAGAAAUAACAACCCAGAACAUUGUUUCCGGGAUUGCAAUGAGAACAAUUUAAAAACCUUAUCGAGUACCAACUGGAGGGCAAGUUCUGGUGCCAGCAGCCGCGGUAAUUCCAGCUCCAGUAGCGUAUAUUAAAGUUGCUGCAGUUAAAAAGCUCGUAGUUGAAUUUCUGUUUGUAAGAGUCGAAGCUUUACAGCUAAGAUUUCUUCGAACAUCUGUUUGCAAGCAUACGUUCGGCCUUCACUGGUUGGCUAUGUAAGCAAGCGCUUUACCUUGAGAAAAUUAGAGUGUUCCAGGCAGGCUUCAGCCGGAAUACAUUAGCAUGGAAUAAUGGAAUAGGACUGGGGACUAUUUAUUGGUUUUGAGGGCUCCAGUAAUGAUAAUAGGAACAGUCGGGGGCGAUUGGUACUUAACAGUCAGAGGUGAAAUUCUUGGAUUUGUUAAAGACUAACUAAUGCGAAAGCAAUUUGCCUAAGCAUGUUUCUAUUAAUUCAAGAACGAAAGUUAGGGG
rnacentral:rRNA from 1 species